CGCGUAGGCGGGUAUGUAAGUUAGGUAGUGAAAUCCCGGGGCUCAACCUCGGAACAGCACUUAAGACUGCAUAUCUGGAGGAUAGGCGGAGAAAAUAGAAUUCCACAAGUAGCGGUGAAAUGCGUAGAUAUGUGGAAGAAUACCGGUGGCGAAGGCGGUUUUCUAGCUUAUUCCUGACGCUGAGGCGCGAAAGCAAGGGGAUCAAACA
rnacentral:rRNA from 1 species